UCUUUUUUUUUUUUUUGGCAUGUUUUUGAACAAUUUGCUUAUAGGUAUCUAAACUUUUCAAUACCAUAUAAACCAAUCUUCUUUUAUGCUAUAAUAUACACUAUUAUUUAAAUAUUAGAUCGGGUUGGAUCAUCUAUUAAUAACGGGUUCAUUGAAAAAUUAUAAAAAAUUUAUGUAAAAAUAUUGAGUUUUUCAAAGAUUGAUGGUUGGGUCUUUCAUGAUUUUUCUCCCAAAAAAAUUUUAUUUGAAUUUAUGGCCCUACUUAUUAUUUUCUUGUUCAUUUCUUUCUUUCUAGUUGUAGGAAAUGCGUUUUCUCUCACUUGAUAAUAUUCAAAAGGAAAAGGAUUUUUAUUAUUAUUUUAUUGAUAAAUUAAAUGUAGUUUAAAAAAUAUCUAAUUAAAUUUAAAAAUUUUAAAAAUAUGUAAAUUUAUAAAAUAUAUUAUAAUUAAAUAUAAAUAAAAAUAUUUUAAAAUCAUUUAAUUUGAACUUGACCUUAGUAUGGCCAACUUAAGAUAAAAAAAUCAUCAUCCAGGUUUUAAACCAAGGCAAGCUAAGUUUAUCAAGUCGUGUGGGCCACUCGAUCUUUUGACAAGUAUCACUUUGAAUCUAAAAUUUGGGUAUAAGUAAUAUAUUUAUACUAAUAAUCAAAUUUAUUGAAUUGAUGUCAUGACUUAAAUGGACAUAAACACGAACUCAAUUGAAAAAAAAUUCAAAAAUAAACAAAUAAAUAUUUUGAUAAUUGUACAUCUAAAUGCAAAUAGGGUAAAAAAAAUUCAAUAAUAUUAGUUUCUUUUGUGGGAACAAAAAGCAAAUUAGAAAUCAAUUAAUCAUAGCAUACCCUCCCUUUAGUCACUAGAAUAGCAUCAUCACGAAGUAAAUUAAGCGCUUCAUCCGAUGGAUACCUUUAAGUUUGAGUCUCCAACGGUGAGCUCAAUGCCAUCUUAGUUAAAGAAUGAACAACAUUGCAUUCCCUAUAAGUGUGUUCAAUUAUAAUAUCCCAAUCCCUCUUCAGCAAAAAAUUGGUUUGUUGUAGGAUUGUAAGGGACCUGAAAUAUUCAUUAAGUAGAGAUAAGAAAAGAUGAGCCCGAGAUCAACGUUAGUAAUCAUGUAUGAACCUUUGUAAACCUCUAGUCAGUAAAACGGUAUGAUAUGGAUUCCAUGGCCGACUGAACAUUGAUCCAAAUUUAAAGUCAUGUCGUUUUCUCAAGCUCAAUCAUGAGUUGUGUUCUGAUGCGUUGAUACUGUUUAGAUAUAAUCACACAACAGGAUGAAACACCAUAGAAUGUCAUGAACAAUAAGCUCUAAAAAGAAGGUAUAGUCCCUCUGGAUACACAACCUACAGUGUGGUUUCACUUUCAAGUGUUGGCACAUCUCUUUCCACACCUUUAAGACAACCUGUGCACACGAUGGAGAGUUAUCAGUUUUGACCAGGUGAGUUAUUCUUAUCUUUAUAAGCAACAAAACUACGAUUAUUUAUCCUUACUCAAGCAAAUAUAAAGCAAACCAUAGAUUGAAGCCUCCUAAUUGAUUAAGGGAUAAAAGUGUCAAGCCUUAGCCAUCUCCAAUUCAUCCUCCCUGGGAGAUUGUCUACAAACACCCAAACACACCUAUGGCGUUCCCUUGUUCCUCUCAUUCUUGGUAUAUAUUGCUCUUUCGUUGGUGUUUUAUGUGACAUGAUAUCCUUGGCAGGGGCAAAGCCAGAACAAUCUUUUAAGGGGCCGAAUGAAAUUUUAAUUUUUAUAGUCUAUAUCUUUAUAAUUUUUAAAGGAUUAAAUCGAAAAUUUAUAAUUUUAGGAGGGCAAAAUAUACAUUUAUUUUUACUAAUUUAAAAUUUUUAAAAAAAUUAAAGAUUUAAAUAGUAAUUUUACUUUUUAGGGGGGGCCGGGGCCUAUGCCAACCCCCCUUUAGAUUCGCCACUGAUCCUUAGUAUAUAUUGUUGAUACUUAUUUUGGAUUAUAAUUUAUUGUUGAUGUCUUAUAACGGUGCUUGAGAGUCUUGGAAUGUAGGACAAGAAGUCGCAAGGAUCAAAGAAAUUUCAGCUGUCAUUUUAUUAUAACUUGAUGAUGCAUGAAAUCUAUAAAACGAUCCAUUAAAUAAUUUUCCUUUUUGAAUCACUAUUUCUUAACCAUCAAAUAAUUUUUAUCUUUCGUACAUAUUUUUAAUGAUUUUAUAUUAAUUAUCUCUCAAUUAUAUCCAAUUUCAAGUAUUUAAAUAGAGUUUCAAAUAUGUAUACAAAAUAUGAUAUUUUGGCUUUCUUUUUCAAUUUCAAAACCUAAUCCCAAGUUCCAUGUGAAUCCUUUUGGAGACAAAGAUCCACGUGGCCUGCCGAUAAAACCGUUUGGGCGCGUCCUACGUUUCUUCCCCCAUGAAUCACGAACCUCAACAUAACAACAACAUUAACAGCCCCAUCAAUAUUACAUAAAAGAUUACUACAAUCCAUUAAAAUCUUAUUUUACAACUUAGUUUUAAGACCAUCUUUAGUUCCUUUAAACAAUAUUUAGCUUGAUUACACACAUUCUGGUAUGUUUUUCUUUAGGUCUUCAGUUCUAAUGUAAAUUUUAGUAAUCAUCGUUAGUGAAAGAGUUUUUGUUUCUUGUUUCUUGUUUGGAUUUUAGCAUUAGGAAGUCUUUUUUGUUGUUGUUAUUUUUCUUUGUUAUUAUCAUCACCAAACAAAGCAUUAAUGUAAUUCUUCUUUAGAUUCAUAAAUUUGCAGAGAGGCUUAUCAUAAGAAUUGGAGAGAACCCGUCAUGGAGAUGAUGAUGUUGAUGAUGAUGAUGAUGAUGAUGAUUGGUUCAAUGGCAGAUGAUACCAAUGAUGUUUACAGUCCAUGUGAUGAUGCCAAAGUGCAGAAACUAGAUGGGUUUACAUUUGGUGUUGCAUUUUCAAAAAAGGAAUUUUUCUCCUUCGAAAAUGUGCAGCUUUCUCCAUGUGAUAGUCGCCUUGGUUUAGCCACCAAAAGUGCACAACUUGCUGUUUUUAGGCCAAAGCUAGACGAAAUUUCUCUCCUUACCAUCAAUGGCAGCGAUCUCGUACGUAUAUUUUUUACCUUGAUUUCUUUUUAUAUAUUUUACCAUAGACAUAUUGAUUUGUUAUCAAUCAAAGAGACAGAGAUUGUUUAGGGCAUACAGUUUUUUGUAUUUCAUGUCUUGUCCAUAGCUUGAUAUUUAUUGCAAUAAUUUUGGUGUUUCUUUCUUGUUUCUGCAUGUAUGUCGCGUUGGACUGUGACGAUUACGUUUAAACACUUUUAUUUUUAUUAUUUCUAAACAAAUCAAGCUUUUCAACAUAAAUCAAUUAGGUUAAGCCUUGGGUUUUGUUUUGUAGAACUAGAAAAAUCGUAUUAUGUUAUGAGAAUUAGUAGGUAAAUGCAAAUGUUAAUCAAAACUUCCAAAAAUUUUGAAACUUUUUUCUUCUUUCCUUUUUUUCUUGGAUUUUAAGCUUAAAGCUGGUGGAUACAUGGUAGCAUUUGCAGGGAGGAAAUAUGCAGCCAGAUCAUUACCGAUAAUGGUUGCCGAUGACAAAAACACCAUAACUAGCUUCACUUUGGUAAGAACCUCAUUAAUGGGUUAUUUAGUUAUAUUUCCAGCCUAAUCAUACUUGAGAAGACAUUACGCAUAUAAUGUCAUCUUUAAGAGUCUUGAACUUGCAAGCUCUUAGAGUUCUCAAACAAUUUUCGAUGUCAAUUGAACUAAUCUCCUCUACUAUUUCGGAAUUUGAGAUUAAUCUUUCAAUUUUUUUUAUAAUAUCAUUAAUAUGUCUAAAUUGAUAACAUUGUUAAUUGCUACCGCUAAAAUGUAAACUAAAUUAACUAUUAAUUAAUUUACGGUGUUAUCAAUUUAACCAUUAGCGCAAUGACAAAAAGAUUUUCAUUAAUUUUAAGUUUACAAUUUAUAUCAAGUUAAAAGUUUGAACCCCGAACUUAUACCCCUUCCAUCUCAACAAUUCCCCCUAAAAAAAGAGAUUAGAUCUUAAAUUUUAAUAUAAUAGAGGGAUUAAAACUGAAAUUAGAUCUUAUUUUUACCUUUAUUUUUAUUUUUUGCUUAGAUAACAUAUUUAGUUUGUUUUAAAUCCAUAGGUUCUUGAAUUCAAACAAGGUACUCUACAAAAUUUAUUUUGGAAAAGUUCUGGUUGUGAUUCAUGCUCCGGAGAGUCAGCUACUUGUCUCAACAACCAAGACUGUGCAAGACCAACCUCAAAAUGUGGGCAAAAUGGGUGCAACUUGGGCAUACAGUUAGCAUUUUCUGGGACAGACAAGAACCUUGAAGCACUCAAUUCAUGGUACGAAGUUAGCAAAUUCCGACAAAAUUCACUCUAUGGACUGUACGCAGAUCUACGUGACAAGCUUUUCUAAGUUUGCAAAUUCCCAUGAAUUGCCGAUGGCCUUCGAUUUGUUAUUAUUGAUGGUCUAAUUCUUCUACUCAUUCGAAAUUUAGACAUUCUAACUCUAAUAAACAUAUUUUGGUUACAACCUUAUAUUCAAGAUUUUUGUUUACUUAUCUGGAUUUCUAAAUUUUUAAAUUAAAAUAAAGGGAUUAAAUUUUAAAUAUGGAAAGAAUAUAGGGACCGAGAGCAUCAUUAGGAAUAGUAUAAAAUGUGCGAGAAAGUGAUGUAGAUUUACUUGUAAAAACCUAAGCAAACCCCAAAACUAAAACCUAUAAAUAGGUGAUAGAAUUGUGCUAACACUCCAUUUUCCCAACCUGCAAAAUACAAUAUCUAAUUGUAUCGUAAUGAAAAAGUUGAUUUACAGAAUGUUACAGAUUUAAUUCAAGAAACUCAACAUAUAGAGCAAUCUUCAACAAAACCUAAUUUUCUAUUCUAUAAAUUAUAUAAGAGAUGAAUUGAUUUGAUUAAAAAAUAAUUACAACAAAAUAAAAAGGAAAAACACGUGACAUAAUUUUGGAAAGGGGCAGUGAUGGAGGAUUUGCUCUCUAGAGUCCCCAUCACACUUUGAUUAAAGUUGUUCAUAUUAGAAGGUAUAACUUGAAAUCUUCGUUCUCUAUCUUUUCUCCAAUUUUCAUGUCAGAGUAUGUUGACACUAAAGUCGGGAGGCCAUAGAAUUUUUGUGCAGGCAACUAGCGAGAGAGAAAUGGUUGCGGUGCAAAUGCAGUAGGUAAGUUCUUGAUUUUGAGAAAAAAACUAGUUUUAGGGUAUUAUCAAUUUCUUGAACUGCAACAUUAGUUUAUAGGGUUUUAUGUAUUGUUAAUUAGGUUUCUUGAUGUGCUUUUCUUGAAUCUGGUUCAGGAGCAUGGAGGGAAUGUGGGCAGAGCACUAACAACUUAUUACUGUCAAUUAGCUGCAAGAAACGUGUACGGCUAGCUUCAAGCCAAAUUACAGUGGAUGCCUGUUUUCCUUUUCAAUUCAUUUUAACUAUAAAAGUUUGACUUUUUUAGCUUGUUAGCACUCGAUAUGUGGGCUUGUUUUUGAACGCCACUUGUUUUGUUUUUAAUGGUAAGUGUGCUUAGCAAAUGGCAGUAGAUUUUGGAGCAAUGUCUUAUAUAUUCUUGAUUUUCAGCUGAGGGUGUAUGUCCCAAUUUUUUUUGAAUUGGGGGGGGGGUGUUAAGGUAUGGGUUCAAUUAUAGGGGAUGCUUUCGAAGUUAGAUUAUGUAUAUAUGUUGUCAAAAUUUUAUCUUUAGCUUGAUUAUAAAAAAAAAUUAAAUUUAAUAUUUUUAACAUUAAAAAAUCUUGCUCAGGAGUUGGAAAUGUAACAAUAAUUUUGAAUAAAAGUAAAGCAUGCACCUUCACAAGCUUAUAUUCUUAGUGGCAAACUAAAACACUUGUCAAGACAAGGAGUUGGAAAUGUAACAAUAAUUUUGAAUGGCAACAACAACAGCUUCUAAAGGCAAUAACUUUACUAAAGAAUUGGUGCGACAAAGGCCUUAAUCGGUUCAAUAGCAGCAAGGAAUAACUGAAUAAGGACAACUUGACCAUCAAAAUAGCAGCAAAGUGAACUAUAAGGUAGCAAGUUGUCUUGGUUGAAAUGGGCAGCAAAUUACCAACAAAUGUCGUAGCAGUUAGUGUAGCAGCAAUUCAAUGUAGCAAUCGGCAGUAGCCAAUUGGAGAAGCAGGCUACUGAAGCAGAUAGCAGCAAUGAUUGAGCAAGCGAUGCAAGGUUGGCUUGCGGCUGGGAUUAUGUAAGUAAGGUACGGUUGAAGUAAAAGGGUUGAGAGUAUCGAUUGCAGGUAAAUAUCCAGAAUCCAAAAAUUAGCAGCAGUACAUAAAUAAAUGGGCAUGGGAUUUGAAACCCCAAAGUUAAAAGGUGCAAUGCAAUUCAAGAACUUGUACACAAUAAUUCUUAUAGCAUAAAUAAGACCAAUUAACAUUAAAAAGCAAACAAAACAAAACCCUAAAAUAUAUCUGCCAGAAAUAUCAAUAAAAAAAAAAAGAAAGAACAUGAUCAAAAAGAUAUAGAAAAUGCCAAAAUAAACUAAACACUUGCAAAUCAUUACCACUGAAAAGUUCUACUUGUUGAGAAUAAUUCAAAAUAACAUAUUAGUGGGAUAUUUAGAAAAUCUUGGUAGUAUCUUGGUAGUUUCAGAUUUUUUAGUUUGACCAAAUAAUUUGUUAGCUAUUUUUAUGUUAAGUUAGUUUCCAUGUAAGCCUAUAAAUAUAGGCAUUCAUUCUUUGUUUUUACUCAUUCAGAAUUCAUUAAUAGGAGAGCAACUUUUCUACAUAUUUUUUAUCUCUCUCACGUUUUAUUCUCCAACAAAUUUGGUAUCAGAGCCAGGUUGGAUCCUUUAGGCAAUUUAGUGAAAGUGAGGUUUGGGUCCAUUAGGGAUUUGAGAGAAACACUUAGUUUGGGGUCUUUGGGAAACAUGAGAGAAGAUUGAGUGAGUGUUUUUGGAAUGGCAUCAGCUAGUUUUUCUUCCUCUCAACCACUCAUACCCAUUUUUCAAUUGUGAGAAAUAUGAGUGGUGGAGCAUCAAGGUGAGGACAUUGCUCAGAUCGCAAGAGCUAUGGGACUUGGUGGAGUACAGGUUCAUUGACAUACUUGAACCUGAUGAAGAAGAAGAUAGGAGAUCUCUUUUCCCAUCAAAGAUUCUAUAGAUAAAAAAGAGGAGUCUGUACCAGCAACAUCUACAACACUUGAAGAAUCUUCUGACGAGUCAGUUCCACUAAGAAGAUCAACAAGGGUCAAAAAGCCGAAUCCAAAAUAUGCUGAUGACACUUAUACAUCCUGUCAAUUUGCUCUAGUCGUUUCAGAUCCUUUGUAUUAUGAAGAAGCUGCUGAUAAGGAAGAAUAGAAAAAGGAAAUGAUGGAGGAGAUACAAUCCAUCGAAAAGAAUGAAACUUGGGAGAUGGUCAACUUGCCGGAAGAUAAAAAUGCAAUUGGUUUGAAGUAGGUGUUCAAAACAAAAUUUGGUACAGAUGGAAGCAUCCAAAAGCACAAAGCUCGUUUUGUAGCGAAAGGUUAUGCACAGCAAUAUGGUAUUAAUUUCGAAGAAACUUUCUCUCCAGUAGCUUGGUUCGAAAUGGUGAGGCUUGUUCUAGCAAUGGCUGCACAAUUACAAUGGCAUGUUUACCAAUUUGAUGUCAAAUCAGCGUUCCUCAAUGGAGAUCUACAGGAGGAAGUUUAUAUAACACAACCAGAAGGUUUCAUAGAGGAGGGAAACGAAACAAAGGUUUACAAGCUGAAAAAGGCAUUGUACGGAUUGAAGCAGGCCCCUCGACCAUGGUACAACAAGAUCGAUGGGUAUUUUCAAAAGAAAGGGUACAUGAGAAGUGAGAAUGAGCCCACCUUGUACGUGAAAAAGGAAGGUAAAAAUGGUUUCAUUAUUGUUUGUCUUUACAUUGAUGAUAUCAUUUAUACUAGUUCCUCUAACUUACUUGUUGAUGAAUUUAAGUCUCAAAUGAUGAAUGAAUUUGAGAUGUCCGAUAUGGGUUUAUUGCAUUAUUUCCUCAGUCUUGAAAUUCAUCAAGCUGACGAUGGAAUUUUUAUCUCACAAUGGAAAUAUGCUAAGGAUCUUCUCAGUAAAUUUAGUAUGCUUAAUUGCAAGCCUGCAGCUACACCCAUGAAUAUCAAUAAAAAAUUGGAGCAAGAGGAUGGAGAAGAAAUGACAGAUGCAAGGAGGUUUAGAAACUUGGUUGGAGGUUUAAUCUAUUUGACUCACACUAGACCCGAUAUUGCAUUUUCUGUUGGUGUUAUUUCCAGGUUUAUGCAGCAACCUUCAAAGGUUCAUUAUGGAGCAGCAAAACGAGUCUUGCGAUACAUUGCUGGAACUUUGGAGUAUGGCAUUUGGUACUAAAAAACUUCAAAUUUCAAAUUGUGUGGGUUCACAGACAGUGAUUGAUCAAGUUCUCUAGAUGACAGAAGAAGUGUAUCAGCAUUUGUUUUUACUCUAGGUUUUGGGGUGAUCACUUGGAGUUCUAAGAAGCAAGCUACAACAACAUUGUCAACCUCAGAGGCUGAAUAUGUCGCAGCAACUGCAACAGCUUGUCAAGCCAUUAGGCUAAGGAGAAUGUUAACUGAUCUCCAACAAGAGCAGAAAUGUGCAACUACCAUAUUUUGUGACAACAAAUCCACGAUCUCCAUGACAAAGAAUCCAACAUUUCAUAGUAGAACAAAGCACAUAGAUAUUCAUUAUCAUUUCAUUCGUGAUUUGGUAGCAAAAGAGGAGAUAUCUUUGGAAUAUUGCAACACUGAAGAGCAGUUGCAGAAAUGUUAACAAAAGCAUUAUCAAAAGAGAAGAUUUGCUAUUUUAGAAGUUUACUUGGUGUCUGCAACUUUGAAUUAAGGGGGGUGUUGAGAAUAAUUCAAAAUAACAUAUUAGUGGGAUGUUUAGAAAAUCUUGGUAGUAUCUUGGUAGUUUCAGAUUUUUUAGUUUGACCAAAUAAUUUGUUAGCUAUUUUUAUGUUAAGUUAGUUUCCAUGUAAGCCUAUAAAUAUAGGCAUUUAUUCUUUAUUUUUACUCAUUCAGAAUUCAUUAAUAAGAGAGCAAAUUUCUUACAUAUUUUUUUAUCUCUCUCACGUUUUAUUCUCCAACACUACUAAUUACUAAACAUCAAAGUUAACGAUCAAUUUCUAGAACUAGAGAUUCAAUAAAGACCCAUUGAAGAAAUUGAAAAAAAAAAUGAAAGGGAAAUUAGAAGAAAGCAAACCUGGGUCUGAGUAUUGGUGUGGUGGAAGAGAAAUGGAUAGCAAAAAGGUGUGAAAAUGGUGGAUCUAAGUUUUCCCGAUCCGACUGAGAUUGUAAGGAAGAAAGAGAUAGGAUUUGUGUUAAGUGAAAGUCGAUUGCUGAGUGCUGAGAAAACGUUCGGUUCUUGGAGGAGAGAAAAUAAAUUGGGCUGGGUUUAAUUUAACCUUUUUGAGGCCCAUGGUAUUUACCCAGUAAAAUUCAGUUAAACCAAAAAAAUUCAGUUAAUCGAUUGGUUUCAAACCGAAUUAACCGUUAACCGAAAAAUCAAAAAAUCUUUCACCGACCCCCGACCCAAAAAAUUCGGUUAACCGACCGAUUAACCGAAUUCGGCCGGUUAACUAAAUUUUUUCGGUUUUAUCCUAAUUGUGCACACCCCUACUCAGGGGUAGUGGUUGGAGAUAAAAAUUUCAUGGUUAUAAGCUCAAAGAUAGUCAUGUGUGAGAACAUACCGUCAGUUUUUGCAGUGGAGGCGAUGACGUGUCUUCAGGUGAUUCAGUUAGGGCUAAAUCUCGGGUUGUCGGUGGUAGAAAUUAAAGAAUACGCUUGAUCGGUGAUAAGGAAACUACGGGCAGAGGGGAUAGAUAGAUUUGAGAUUGAGAUUUAUAUUAAAGAUUCAAAGUAGUUAUGUACAGGUUUUGACUCUUGUGCUUUUUUAUUUACCCACAGAGAAUCAAAUAAGGUUAUCCAUAUCCUAGCUAACGGGGACUAAAGAGAGGGGAGAAUAGUUAUCUGGUGAAUAGUAUUCCUCCUUAUGCUGCGGAAGAGGUGGAAACGAAUCGGCGAUUGACGGAUACCCUGAACAUAAGUUGAAGAAGAUGAAUCCCAAUGGAUGAAUUAGAAAUGAAGUGGCGUACUGAUGAAAAGUUUGAAGAUAAAAUUUUUAUAGCUUCCUAAGAAUAAAUUGUUGCUUUUCAAGAGUUGAGGCUGAUUAAUUGAAUAUAGCUAAGACAUCGGAAGUCUCUAAAGCUACCUCUCACUUUAACUGGAUCUGGGUUUUGUUUAAUUUUAAGAAUUUUGGGUCGUGUGUUUUAUUAUGUUUUGGAAUUUUAUUUUAGUUCGUUUGUAAGAGAUUCUUCUUUGAGCCUAAAUAGUUCUUAAAUAAAAUAUCUACGUAUUUUAUUUCAAAAUAUAAAAUUAAAAAAUUAGAAAUAUUUUCUUAUCAUUUGUAAUUAGAUCACAAAAAUGUGGUUGUCAUCCAACCUAACAAGAGUAUUUGUCAUUACAAAAUUCAAUUAAAAUGAAUAAAAAUUGAAAUACAAAAUUAAAUCAACAGAACUUAAGAGAAAUUUAAUGAAAAUUUUAGAACUAAAAUCUUGAGAGAAUUGGAUUUGAAUGAAAAAUGGAGAAAAUGGCUUAGGUUUACGUAGCAAUUAAACUAGUCAUUGGAGUUUUUGACCGUUGGGGAUGUUAUAGUUGGGGAAAACGUGUCCAGCGAGGCGCGCUUUCCUGCACAGUUUGCAAAACGCGUCCAGUGAGGUACGCUUUCUUGCACAAUCAGCAAAACGCUCCAAUAGGACACGUUUUCAUAUUCUCUCUCCAAAAUUGACAUAUUCCAAUAAAUAUGCCAUAAAUCAACCUAAACAACCAAUUUUUUCCAGCCUUUUUGGCUAAUUUAGUCAUGAGAUUGUUUGCGAUCAAACUCAAACUCUUAUACCUAUACCACAAUACUUUGUCACUAGGCUAAGAGGUUGUUGGCAUUCAUUUCUUUCCUUUUAUAUUAAUUUUAUGAUUAAAAUUUAUCUCAAAUUUAACUUGUUUUCAUGAUAUUCAGUGACAAUUCGUUGUUGUCCACCUUUAUAUAUUAAGUAUAUAAUUUAAAUUAAUCUCAAAUUUAACUUGCUUUCAUGAUAUUCAAUUUUUAAAGUAGUAGUUCUCUGCAUCUGUUAUAAUAGACGUUGAUAAUGGUAAUAGAACGAUCGCAAAGUAAUAAGAAAAUGAAAAAUAAAACACACAGAUUUUACGUAGAAACCUUUUCGGGAAAAAAUCACAGGCAUAGGAGAAGAAAUUUACUAAUGUUGAAAAUUAAAUGAUACAAGAGGAGUUUCGACUACAUCCAUUUAAAGGUUGAAAAACCCUAUUCUAAUAAAUGUAAAAUAGAAGUAGUGUAGUUCUAUACGGAUUCUAGGAGUUUGACAUGUUUUGAAAAUGCUUUUUUUUUAUCUAUUUUACAUCCUCUAAAAUCUGCAUUGAAGUAAGCAUGCAAACUAAAGGAAGAGUCCUCACAAUACCAAAGUCUUAAGUUUGGUGUAACCUUAAGGCACCUAAAGAUUCUCUUAAUGACUUGUAAAUGUGAAUUUCUAGGAGGUUAUUUAAAUCUAGAGCAUAGACAAACACUAAAUAUAAUAUCAGGUUAAUCAGAGGUAAGAUAUAGUAAUGAACCAACCAUAGACCUAUAUAGUUUUGUGUCAACUCACUUUUCUCCUUCAUCCUUAUCAAGAAGUGCUUAUUAUAGUGAAUUGAGGCUUCAAGACCUCUAUUUUGAAUUGCUUAAGCAUCUCCUCUAUUUACUUGGCUUGAUUGAUGAAGAUGUCAUCUUUUGUUUGCUUGAUCUAGAGCCUCAAAAAGAAGUUGAGUUCCCCCAUCAUUCUCAUAUCAAAUUUACCUUGCAUAGUCUUAGAAAAUUCUUGGCAAAACAAUUCUUUAGUAGUACCAAAAAUAAUAUCAUUGUUGAGUAUGGCUCUUAUUUCAGUCAAAUUUGAGAAAUAAUCUUCCAGUUAAACUCUGUUUAUUUGUUUCAAUUUAACUCUACUUAUUUGUUUCAAUUAAACUCCGCUUAUUUAUUUCAAUCAAACUCUAAUUAGUCUAGAUUAUUUUAUUACUAUUUGACUUAUGAAUUUAGCCUAUAAAUAGACUCUUUUACAACCUUAGAAAAAACACUCAUUAGUGAUUAAACUAACACUUUUAGAGAAUUUUAUGUUUACGUUUUGAGGGUUUUUUAUUUUCGGGUUUUCGGUGUUUAGUUUUUAUCUCCAUCUUUUGUACUCUUCGUUCUUUUUCCAUUAUAGUAAAAUUAUCUUUGCCCAUGGUUUUUAUCCUCUUUGGAGGGAUUUUUCCACGUUAAAUUUGUGUGUUCAAUUUCUCAAUUUCUUCCACUAUUUUUACUUGUUCAUUGCUUAAUCGAGUCGAUCCCCAACAAGUGGUAUCAGAGCUAGUUCAAUUUUCGUAGGUCAUUUCGUUCAGAGAUGGUAGCAACAAGGUUUGAAAUUGAGAAGUUUGAUGGUGUCACAAAUUUCAAUCUGUGGCAAGUUUGGAUGAUGGCAAUUCUAGUUCAAACUGGCUAGAAAAAGGUUGUUACCGGGAAAAAGCCUUAGAAUCUAAAUCAAAUAGAAUAGAAAGGACUUGAUGAAAAGGCCUUGUCUACAAUCCAAUUGAGUCACGAAUACUAUAUUGCAGGAGGUAUUGAUGGAGAAGACAUCAUCCGCCUUAUGGAAAAUGUUAAAAACUCUUUACGCGACUAAGUCUCUGGCUAACCAUUUUGUGUUGAAACAAAGUCUAUUCACGUUUCGCAUAAAAGAAGGUGAGCUUCUUAGAGAUCACAUCAGUCAGUCCAUUACUCUUUUAAAUGAUUUAAAGAACGUUGAGGUUCAGAUUGACGAUGAAGAUCAAACUAUACUAUUAUUGUGUUGUUUACACCAUUAUCAAAACACCAUUAUCAAGCCACUAAAAAUUUUUGUGAUAAAUUCUAAUGUGCAAAACAUAUGAAAUUAAAAUAUCUUAUCGUUAAAGAAGAAGUUCAGAAACAAUAAGUGUCUAUAAAGCACUUUAGAAUUGGUCUUAUAAUUUCAAAUCUAUUAACUAAAGUCUUACAACCAAAAACAUUUAAAGAACUUGCAUAUAGAAUGGGUCUUGAAAGCAUUGAUGAACGAUAUUUUAUGAUAAUGUAACACUUUGAGCUCAUUUAUUAUGUUUCUGAUAUAAAAUUUGCAUAUUUCCUGUUUAUCAUGAUAUGUGCAUAUAAAAUUUAAUAUUUCUUAUUUAUCGUGACGUAUUUAUUAUUUAUCAUGUUCGUUUAAUUAAAACUCAAUUUGUUUAUUAAUUCAAACCUAAUUUAUAUACUCCAUUCAUUUAAAACUCCAUUUGUUUAUUAACAAACAUAUUUGCACAUCAUAAACAACAUAUUAACCAACAAUCAACGAAGAUGUUGGUGAACAUAUUUUAGGCUUAAUUUUGUUAUGAUAGCUAACAUUUCAUAAAUUUUACUUUUGUUAUUUUUAAAAUAUUUUAGUUAUCUUUUAUUUUAUUUUUAUUUUCUAACGAUCUUUCAAUAAGAUGCUUUGGUAGUGAAAAUAAAGAGUUAAAAAACAAAAAAAAUGAAAAUGAAGGAGAUAUAUUUUGAAGUAUCUAUAGUAAAAAUAUCAACCUUGAACAUACAUGUCUAUAAAUGAACAAAUCAAAUAUACCUAUAUAUACCUAUACCAACUAUUCACAAAGUAAUUCGUCACUAAUAAUAGAAAAUUUUCCAAAACCACUGGUCGUAGUUAGGAAUGAAUAAUGAAUAACGAAUAUCACCGACUUUGUUUCUCAAAUGUCCAAAAUACAAAUGAAGACAAAAUUCCAACAGGCAGGCUGCUGAUUGCCGACUGAGUAAGCCAAUGUAUAUAACAUUCUAUACAGACUAAAUCUACAUUCCUGUACAUUUAGAAUGUGAGAUUAAAUCAAAAUUUCCUAAAACCCAACAAAACAAAAACAUUCAUAUAUAUAUAUAUAUAUAUAUAUAUAUACCACUGCUUACUAGUAAUUUGGUAUAGUAGUGAAUGUCACAGGCAAAGCCAAUGGUGCUGGUUGACUACAUCGUUCUUCAUUUUCUAAGCUUCCAUGGAUGUAAUUGAGACAACGGCAGACUUCCUUCACAGAAAUAGAAACCGCAACUUCCUAUGCAACUUUAAUAUGUUUCUUUCCAUGAAGAUCCACCACAAGAUCCCGCAGCUCAGGGAAAACUGAUAUGAUUACAAGUUCUAAUAUCGCGUAAGCAAGUUGCUUCACGCAUAUAGUUGACUGCAUUCAUAAUGACAAAGUCAAUACAACCAGAAAGUGAAGAAAUUAGGAAAAAACAUCAACGUCAUGUUAGAAAAUAGCAACUCAACCUGAGUGAAAAAAUAUAUGUCUCUUGCACAUCGUCUGUAUUGCUUGUGCCCGAUUAAGCUAACUAAGGCCGUCGGAGCGCCAUCUGACAAAAAUAUUAAUCAUUUAGUGGUUUUCACCAUUAAUCAAGUUCUAGCUCCAGGGAAAACAUAUAUGAAACAUGCUCAACAAAUUUCACAAUAUAAAAAUAAUCUCAAAAAACAUGUUAUGGACCACGGUAACCUAGACCCAAAAGGACUUCAGAAAUUGUCAUUAGAAAUAUAAUCAUUCAACUCUGGACCAAGGAAUUCGAUCAUUCGAAGCAAUGCUCAUAUGAGAAUUGCAAGCAUGUGAACCACAGAUCCAAAAGUCAUGGCAGGUCACCACUAUGAUCUGACAAAAACAAAGAAAAAAGUCUCACCGAAAAGCAUCUUUUUAAUGCUGCUUGCUCUACGAGCUGCCUCAAGUUGUUCCUCAAAGGACCCUGGUUUAUUGACAUUACCCCCACCAAAUUGGCUGAAGUUCUGCGAAGGUGUCUGGUUAGGCUGAGUAUUCUCGAAUUUUCCCUGAAUAUUCCCUGCUUUUGUAAAGAAUGUACCACCUGGCCACAGAAUCUGGGGAAAAAGAGGUUAUUAAAAGAAAAGAAUACAUGUGCAUGGCUCUUCAAGACACUUUUUACUAGGUUAACUACUGAGAAACAAAUUAAUCAUUGUUCUCAAGAUUGGGCUACUGCUGACAGCUAAGCCUCAGCCUGUGAAGUUCUCAUUGAGAGACCAAAGUAGCCCAACCAAUCAGUAUACAUAGGGCUUUAAGAAACAGAGCCAUCUAAAAGUUCAUAUGCAAGUAGAAGCAGCUCUUAAUGACAAAACUCGUGCUUUUACAGCAUCAAAUGCUGAACCAUAUAACACUCAAAGUUAAACUGUCUCAAAUUUGUUCAACUCUUACAUCUUGAAUCCAUCGAAUCCCUAGUGCAAUAGUGUCCUCCCUCCGAAGCCAAUAAAUCUGCCUCAAAAGCCAGUCAUCGAUGGCAUCCUCCAUCACCAGCUGUAAUAUUUGCUUAGAUAUCCAGAAGACCUGUCUUCUGCAUCAAUGAAAAAAUGCACAUGUUUAAAAUGCACAUGUUUAUGCCAAAUUAUUCUGAAAUUAGGUAAAUUUAUAACAUCAUAGCACGCAAUUAAAGUUAAACAGGACCACAUGGUCUGAAAGACUAGACAGUUGCCACUGGCUAAAAGGAAACCAGGAAAAAGGCUUGAAGUAUAACUAAACAAUGGCAGCAGACUAAUGCCUCUAAACCCAUGCAAAGUUAGUGUUUUAUCAUGCAGCCUGUUUCAGAACAGACAAAGUAGCUAUGAGACGCAAGACUAACUUCUCAUAAAAGAUAGAACAGAAAACACAAGAUGUAGUAAUUGUUAGUUCUGAGAUGGGUAAUCAGCUCACCACAUCAACCAAUCCUAUGCUAGGAAAACAAACAUUAGAAACACCAAAGUCCAGGUACAAUAUUAUUUUUAGGUUGAUCUUUAUAAUUACCAAAUGGUAGAAUACGGCAUUUUAGCAAUUAAUUAAUCCACAAUUAUGGAAAUGAGGAAAAAUUAGCUCACCUUAGCCAGCCUCUCCUCUUAAGCUGAAACACAUUAUCAACUAGAUUCAGCAACGGAACGCUCAUGUUAGGAGGUGCCCACUGCAAAAAAAUCAAUUGUGAACAUUCAAAUAUUACAAGUGAAAGAAAAAAAAAAGAAAAGAGAUCUUCAAAAAUGGUGUAAGCUUAAAUAAGCUGAAACUAUUCAACCAAAAGAUCACUAACAAAAGCAAAGGGCCACAGCCAGAUAGACACCAAAUGAAAGGUUGCGGUAGCUAGAGAAUAGGUGCAACCAACAAAGAAACUUAUUUUCCUUGUAAUGAUACUCACUUUUGGUUGAGAUUCUUAUGAAUGCAAUCCAAAAUUUUAUUGACCAAGUAGCAAAAGUUCUCAGUUUAGAAGAGUAUUCUCACAAGAAAACAAUUGAGAUAAAGAAUGAUACCUCCGGGGGCAUUCCAACUGGAUCCUCCAUAUGGCUUGAGGUUGUGGGGAAUUUUAUUGCAGGAGAACCUUGCUGACCAAGCAAUUCAGUUUUAACACCUAAAUUAUGUUUCUCAGAGACUAAAUUACCAGACUCUCCACCAUGCUCUAUCACCCUUGGAGGCAAACUUGUGUUCGACUCAAAGUCUGGAUGCCAACCAUGGCCUUGGGAACCAGAUCUAUCAUCCUCAUGACCAUGGCUACUAUCUUUAUCACCUUCUUCGUUAUCAGAAGCGCUAUGCACUGUCUCCAAGUUACUUUGCCUUGAAAUGUCUUUAGCAAUCUCAUCAGCACUCCAUGACAAGGUCCUGCCAGUGACUGAAGAAGAGGCUUCACUAGGGGGAGAAGACGAAUCAACAGCUUUGCACAUUACGCCAUCUGAUACUCCUCUAAAUUGGCGUACAAUAUCAUCAGCAGCAUCGUCCACAUUGACUGUUCAUACACAAGAGAAUCAGAAAUGGUCAGGAAAUAAUCUGAAUAAAAAGAGUUAUUGUAUGCAAGAACAACAUGAUAACCAGAAACAGAAAUAACAUACCUGCAAGGGUUCUCAUCACUGAUGAAGAUUUUCCAAAAGAGUAAUUCUUCAAUACCAAAUGACAACCACAAAUAGAAUGAGAUGUCAUUCAUCCGUAAAAAAACACACUAGCACCCAAUUUGAUGCGAACAAGAUACAUACCUUUGAGGAAACACUUAAAAAGUCCCACACUUCAUGUUGUUCAGCCACAUUAGCUAUAGACAACAGAUCCUGCGAAAAGGCAACUUAAUUGAAGCUCAGGUUUAAAAGCAAACAUCCUACAAUAAAGAAAGGUCAGGAAGUAAAUUACUUCUAGAUACUUGUCAAGCUGAAUGCAACGCUGGUGAACAAAAGUGUCCUCGGUGCUUGACGAAAAUAUCCUUUUGGGAGGCAAGUGUAAUGUAUAAUUAGGAAUUUCUUUAAGAUGUCGAUGCAACCGUUCAAAGUUCCUGUAUCUGCGGAUUAAAAAAAAAAAGUCAAAUGAACAAUUAGAGAAGAAAAUAAAACAAGUUACCAGAACUUUCAAUUGCUCUCUUGUGAUGACUACGUUCUGGCUUAAAACUAUAAAGACUUUAAAAUAUCUAAGGGAAUUAACUAACUAAAGGCCCUUAAACAAAUGACUUUUUCAUUUAACACACACAUAUAUGUAUAAGAAGUUGGGUGAGAAAAAACCUUCUUUUAACAAACCAAGUUCUAUUUUCAGCAUCUGUCACAGCGAUUGAAUAAACUGCAAAUGAUUUUGAUCCAAGUUUUUCAACAUAUGCUCCAAUAACCUGCAGAGAUAGACAGGCAUAGCAAAUAUGAUUACAGAUCAUAGAAUGUCUAUGACUGCCAAGCAUAAGAAGCUGUUUUCAUUUAUAUCCCACAUCAAAUAUGGAUUCAGCAGGCAGUUCAAAUUUCAAAUUCACAAAACUCGCAACAAUAUACACAGGCAUGCUCACCCGGCACCUAAGCUUCGGAACAUGUGGCUCCUCAUUGCGAAGUACUGUAUUUGAGGUAAUCUUACCCCUAUAUUCUUCAGUAUGCCUGCCAAAAUCAGGGCUGUAGAACUCUGAAAUAAUCGGCUCUCGAAUAUCUCCUGUAAAUACCUUCUUAGUAUCAGGUUCAACAUUCAAAUCGGAGCUACUACUGGAUCUCUUAAGCCUACUUUUAUUUCCAUCAGCAGAUUGCUCACUAGCAUCAUUAAAAUUGUUAACAUGAUGAUCUCCUCCAAAUGACGAUAAGUUGUUGAAUUCUGGGGCCAACUGUGUGCCUGCUGUGUUACCAUCAAAUAAUUGAGCAUCAAGAUUUAAACCGGGCAUUGUCUGCAUCACAGUUUUCUCUUCACUUCCCGUAGAAGUUCCAACAUUGUUGGUAGAGAUUUCACUUCCUGGAUACCCUGUCAACACAGCACUCUUUGUCACAGAACCCCUAGGAAUAGCUUCUUGAAAUCUUGUGUUUACAUAUUUUUUCUCCUUCUUUUUGUAGUUUCUUCCUUUUGUCCACAUGUUUUCAAGAUUUUCAGGGGCAAGAACUUCAGUUCUUCUCUGGGUUGCUGCCUCUAAUUUUCGAGCCCAGUCAGCUGGUCGAGGCUGCACUGAUUCUUCCUCGCAUCUGUUAGAAUCUGAAUAUGUUUCUUUCUGAUCAUCAAGUCUAGCCAAUGUCAAAUCAGUUCCCUGACUAUUAAAGGACGCAAUUUUGCAUGAGGAGGAGACAUCACCACGGACUUCAACUGAAGACUGAUCAAAACCUUCCACCACCUUAAUCAUACCAUCAUUAAUGGCAAGUAGAACAUAUUCAAUUACUUCAUUGAUACACCUGACAACAAAACAUAAUUGGAAAGAAAAAAGAAUAAAGCAUUUCUUAAUGCAAGCACCAAAUCUUAUACCAACGGAAAAUGGACAAUCAUGAAUAACCUUUUAAUUUUAAACACACUCCCUUCUUUUACCUACAGGGAGCAAGAGCAAGAUUCUAACCAAGAAACCACUGUAGUUCCAUAAUGUCAUUCAACGUAGGAUGGUCUGUAUUCUAAUUGUUCCACUCUUUCUAAAAAUCAAAUAAACACUAAAUAAGAAUACAUGUCGAAAGAAACUGUCAAUAUUCUUAACCUAAAAGUUUAGGCUAACUUGCUAAACAGAACUAUAGUUUUAACUGAAGUAUUAACUACAUUCUUCGCUACCUUAAACUUAAACAAACAACAAACCAUUGCUCAAUAACCUACCCAGGGUUUGCCAAAUUCAAAAGAGGUUGCACAACCAAGCAAGUAACAAUCUCACGAGCAAUAGUUCGAACCAAAGGACAUUGAGCUUCUCGUGGUCUUAAUACUACUGCUAAAACUCCACCAAUAAGCCGUUGAAUAACCUGAAAAAUGAAAGUGUAAGGAUAUAAAACAAAAGCAAACCGCAAAAUGCAAAGGCAAAUUAUGUUUUCAUCGGAACACUCCACUCACACCUUGUACUCACUCUCUGGUGAAAUCAGUGCAGGAUGAAGCUCUUCAGAAACCAUAAGAUGGUGUUUCAGUCUUUCAUCCCUUUCUUCAGAUGACAAUGUUACCAUAACAUCAACACCUAUUGCAGCUUGGUUUCUUCUAAAAAGGUCCAAGUGAUCUCCGAUCAAAUCAACUAUAUCCCUGAAAAAUUAGACAACUGUUUGAAAUCUUUGAGCUUUAAAACCUUUUGAACAUAUUUACAAUUUGACAAUCCUUCUCUUACUAAAACCCUACCGAGUUAGCAAAUCAACAAGGUUUAUCUCUUUCGCCCUUCCUGAUAUUUCACCAAUAGCAUCCAAAAUUACAUCUCGCAUCAACUCAGGUGCCUCUCUAUCUGGAGUAAUCUCCGAAUACCACAAAUCAACAACAAAAUCCCUGAGUAUUUUAUCAAUAAGCUCAUUGAGAGCAGCCUCCACCAUAGGAGAAUCAAUUUUCCGCUUCCACUUGAGCGGAGGUGAUGAGCUGGAAACACGGGAGUCAUUCACGGACAACUGUUUCUUCUCCAAGUGAGACAAAUAACUCAGAACACGAACUGAUUUAACCUUCCAUUUGAACUCAACCUCAUUACUCAAAAUUCGUAAUCCAGCAACAAUAAGAAUUGCUAUAGGUAAAUUCAUCCACAUCGAUGUACUUGUAUCUACAUCCAUUAACAAAAGCAGAAAACACAGGGAAAAAAACUCGUAAAAGUUCAAAAAUCACUUACGAUCAAUUCCUAAUAGCAAAAAUUAAACCACACUAACGUAAGAUACUAAUAUAAAACCCUAGAUGAAUCAAUUAAUAGAAACUGAAAAUCCAGAGUUAAAUUUGAUUCCAAUUAAACGGGAAUUGUCCAUAAAGCUUCAAGAAGAAACAAUUCUAGGAAAAUAAAGCAUCCAUGCGAAGUAAAAAUAAAGCAUUCGCCACAACAAACAAUUUAAACAACAAAUUCAAAUAGCUAAAAAGAAAAAAACUAACAUGGAGCAAAUAAUUAUUCUUGGAAUCAUAUUAAUUAACUUACGAGUCAAGAAGUAAGUUACGACAAAGGUAGCCAACGCCCACCAGACCGUCCGUACUUUGGCAUCUUCGAUCAGAUCCUGUAUCGUCUCCAUCGAUUUCAUUUUCCCGUUUUUCUUUCGAUCUUUUUUUUUUCUCCCUCCAAUUUUUCUUUCCAAUUCGCGGAAUUCGAUUCCUUGAUUUUCAAGAAUUUUCAAUUCUUUCUUAACAUGGAGAAAAAUAAAUAAUCACCGGAAAAUAAUUUGAAUUUUUUUUCUUCGAUUAGCUUCAGCAGGGUUUAAUAUGGAAUUAGUCACGAACCAAAAAGAAAGAAAAUAAUAACAGAGAAGAAAAUUAGAGCAUCUGGAAUUUGUUUCUAACUAAAUAAAUUUGAAAAUGAAUAGGGAGAAUACAACCAGCUAUGAAUAGUAGGGUUAUAUAGGGUUAAUAUACCAUUUGAGGCUUAAGUUUGGCUUAAAUGUUCAAUUUAGUAUUUAAAUUUUUUUCUCAAUUUAGUACUUAAGCUUUCCUUUGAUGUUCAAUUUAGUACCUAAAUCAAAAGUCAUCAUGUGGCCCAAUGAAUUAUUAACAUGUGUGCUCUAAUAAAAUACAUACGUACCUUAAUUGGAAGAGAAAAAAAUUCAAAUUCUAAAUUAAAUAUUAAAAUCAAACUUAAGUACCAAAGUAAACAUUAAAACCAAAAUCAAAUACAUACGACAAAAAAAAACACUUCAGUACAAUAAUAAAUCUUAAAAUCAAACAUAAAUAUCAAAUAAUAUAUUAAUGCAUGGUAAUACUUCUCUCGAAUAUCAAUUAGCCUCUAACCAAAUAAUAAAUUUGGAGGUUUUCUUUCCUUUCAUUUCGAUAUUUAUUUUUUCUGUAAAAUUUGCUUUCAAUCCUUCUAUUAUACAUAAAUUUAUAAUUUAAUAUUUAUACGUUAAUUUAACAUAAUUUAGUUUAUUAUUAUAAUGUUAUUAGUUAGUGUUGACACCAUUUUUUAAAAAAAAACGGAGUCGAUUUGGAUUUGAAAAUGAAAAAGAAAAUGUUUGGCUCACCUCGAAAAGUGAUUGUUUUUAAUAAAUGAUUUGAUUUUAUUAAAACAACGAUUUUGGUCCACGAAAUUCAGAAAAACGGGUUCGGGAGUCAGUUACGCACGAGGAAGGAUUAGCACCCUCGAUACGCCCAAAAUUGGUACCUAGUUGGCUACUUAAUGUCUUAAUGUCGAAAAUUGAAAACUUUGAAGAGAUUUAAAAUACGAUCCUUUAUUGAAAAGUUGAAAAUACAAUGUCUUAAAUUUCCGAUGCGCGAAUAAAUGCCGAAAAUUUACUUAUUUAAAAAAUAUUUAGCUAUCUCGGAUUUAAAAAAUGGAUCAUGCCUAGUAAGUUAGGACACGAUCUUUUCUUAAUUCCCGAGAUCAUUUAAAACUUGAGAAAAAAAAGGAUCAUGCCCAGUAAGUUAGGACACGAUCUCUCUUCUUAAUUCCCAAGAUCGUUUAAAACUUGAGUUUGAAAAGAUUCGUGUAUUUAGAUUUAUUGUGAAAAUCGAAACCCAGUAAGUUAGGGUACGACCUUCUCAAAUCUAAACACGAGAUUUUGCUUACUCAAAAUCAUAAUUUAUGCAUUGAAUAAAAUUAAUCUAACACGAAAUAGUAGAAAUAAAACACGAUGUCAAUAUGCGUAAUAAAACAAUAAUAAACACGAUGAUGUAAAAAUAAUACGAGCAAUAGCAACAAAAAUAAAUAAAAUAAAUAAAUAAAAGGGAUAAAUCAAUAACAUACAAAAUGACAAGUAUAUAAGCAAAUAAAAUUAAAGCAUUCUUUCAUAAUAAUGAUGAAAAUGUAAAUAAAUAAAUAAAUAAAAUGAAUAAAGUUAUAAAAAUGUAAAAAGAUACAUGUAUAUACAUAUAUAUAUAAAUUAUAAAAUAUAAUAAAUAUAUAUAUACAAGUAUGUAUAUAUAUAAAUUAUAAAGUAUAAAAAUAAGUAAGUAUAUAUAUACCAAAGAUGUGUACAUAUAUAUAUGAUUAAAUCUAAAAUUAAAUGGCAUAAGUGAGUAAAUAAUAAUAAUAAUAAUAAUAAUAAUAAUAAUAAUAAUAAUAAUAAUAAUAAUAAUAAUACAAGGUUAAAAGAUAUUUAAACAGAUAAAUAAAUAGAAUAGAAAUAUAAUAACAAUAAUAAUAUAAAAAUAACAGCAUAAUAUAAUAGUGAUGAAUAAGUAAAUUGAAUUAAUUAAUAAAAUAACAAAAUAACAAAAAAGGACUAAUUUGAAUUUUAAGACAAAGAUUCGGGGUAAAAUCAAAAUAAAAUGAAAGGGAGGGACCAAUCUGAACACGCGCAUAACAUGGGGCACUGAAAAGGUAAUUUUACCUUCCCCAAAACGACAUCGUUUCAGCAAGGACCAAACUGAAUUCGUAGAAAAAUCACGGGGUAAGAUUUAAAAAAUAAAAAUCUUUGAUUGGAAAACAUUGAAAAAGUGGAAGGACUAAAAGUACAAUUAGCCCUUCCAUUGAAAACACGCGGAUCCCCCUGGAGCGGGUCGGGUCGCAUGCGGGUCGGCCUUAAACGACGCCGUUUUGGCACUAAAAGAUCCUGAAUGAAACGGUACCAUUUUGUAGCAGUAUAAAAACUAAAAUUUUUCAAAAAAAAAAAUACUCAUUUUUCUUUAUUCGAAAAAAAAAUGCCCUCAUUCUCUCUCGGCCCCUCUCUCUUUUUGCCCAUACUCCGACCUACGGCUCCGGCGCACCUCCGCCGUAGGCGGCAACCGGAGGUGCAAGAUUGGACCUUUUUUGGUCUCUUUUGAAGCCGACCGUCCUUAGAAGUAGGAUUUAGGGCCAAAUCUCUAGAUAGAUGGGUCGAACUCAGAAAAACAGGAAGAAACCGUUCGCCUUUCUUCUCUGGCACGACGCAGGUGAGAUUUUUUUUCUUUUUUGUUUUUUUUGGUUAUUUGGUAUAACAAAGAUAAAUAAAAAUAAAAAUAAAAAUAAAGCAAAAAAAUAAAGAGAGACUCGAAUGCAAAAAAAAACCACCUCUAUUUAUGUAUUCUGUUUUUUGAUUUUUUUCAAUCGCUUUUCCUACAAUAUUUGUCCCCCUUUCUCCGAUUCAUGUUUGGCUUUUAUAUAGCCAAAGAGAAAAAUAAAAAAGAAAAAUAUAACUAUAAAAAAGCUACUUCCUAUAUUGCUUUCUUCUCUUUUCUGUCUCUGUUUCCUCUUUUGCUGCUUUGGUUUGUCAUUUCUCGCAGGUUCGGCCAGCUGGAGGUGUUGACGAGGGCGGAGUUCGCGAUUUUUUCCAUUUUGGUGCAAGGCUGCCAUGCUUCGGGCGGUGUGCGCGCCGAGGGCGCACAUGGGGUAGGCUGCGGCGCGAGGGAAAGCAUUAGGGUUUAGGUUUUCUUUUCUGAAAACUUUAGGUUGUGGGCUUAAGGUUUUCAUGUGGGCCUUUUGGUCCAUUGUAUUUUUUUGGGCUAGUUAUUUUGUAAUCUGGACUGUUCUAUUUCGGGCCUGGGCAUAAAUGGGUCAUCACAGUUAGUUCAAAUAAUUUAUAUCGUUAACUAUUGUUACAUUUUUUUACUUUUUAAUGCAAUACUUAAACUGUCCAUGACCCUAAUCCCUAACUAAAAAGAUUAUACAUAAACCUACGUCCUUCAAGUUGUUGCAACAUCAAUGAUUUUAAUAAAGUUCAGACUUAAUCGACAAUUAUUUUUAACUAUUUGACUAAUUAAUAACAUUAUCAAAAUAAAAUAAAAUAUUAUAUUAUAUUAUAUUAUAUUAUAUAUAGAGACUAAAUUCUAAAUUUAAGUAUAAUAAAAAGAGGAGGAAAAAUUUUAACCUUGUUUUCAAUGAAAACAUGCAUAAUGACUUAUUUGACCCUCUAAUUUUUGGGAAAAAAGUCAUUUUAACCCUCAUUUAAUUUUUCAUCUCUUUUAACCCAUAAACUACCGUUUUUUUGUCAAAACAACCCAAAAUGGAGGGAAAAAUUAGCAAACAUUAACUUUGCUAACAUGGCAUGUACAUGACCAUCUAUGUGUGUGUUAUGUCAAUAAUUAAAUAUUUUUUAAUUCAAAAAAAUAUAAUAUUUUAAAAUUAUCAUGGAAGAAUUUUAUAAUUUUUCAUAUUUUCUAAAAUUUUAAAAUAUUUUUUGAAUUUUAUAAAACUUUAAAAAUAUUAUAUAAUUUUAGGAAAUUAAAAAAAUAUAAAUAAUUGUUGAAAUGGCAUGACACUAGAAAAUAUCAAAUUCUAUGUUUUUAAAUUCUGUCGACAUGAUUAUUCUUAUCUUGACAGGAACCCAAAACUUAUCCAAUUAAUUUAAGUGAUUUAAAUUAGUAAUUUCAACUUGUUUAAUUUAAAUUUUAAAAUAAUUUAAACUUAAAUUAAUUUUACCUCAAGAUAAUUAAAUUUGAAUGAUUUUAACCUAAAAUUAUUACAAAUUUAAAAAUCGAAAUGAUAUAAAAUAAUUUAUACCUAGAUCCAAUUGAAAUUAUAUUUUUAAACUUAACUAGAAACUAUAACAUCUAACUAAAGGUUUGAAUAUUGUAUAAUAAAUCUAAAUCAUAAAAAUAAAGAACAAUAAAAUGUAUCAUAAAAUCGAGAGUUAUAACAUAUUAUAACAUGUAAAAAGAAUAUUUGAUGUAACGUCAGUAUGUAUAUUUUAUAUACAAUUAAUUAAUAAUAAAAGAUGGUCAAGAGUAUUCACUGUCCUAAAUGUGGCUUGGGUUCGAGUUGCGUUAGUUGCAUUGGUAGUUUGCGUUUUGUCCUAUUAUUAUAAUUCACAAAAAAAUAACAUAUUACAAAAAAGAUUAAGACUUUAAAAAUAUCAAAGUUAUCAAUGUUAACAAGUAGAAAGCAAUUGGUUAAAAUAUGCUAUCGGUUUUUACUCUUAAUAAAUUUGAAAUUUAGUUAUUAUACUUUUCGAACUUUUAAAUUUAGAUCUAUUUGUUAACACUAUACAAAUAUUUUUUAUUAAAUUUAUUGGUGUAAUAUUUUAAAAUAAAAAAAUAUUUGUUCGGUUGCUAUGUAUCCAAUAAAAAUAAUGUUCAACAAAAUAAUUCUAACCGUAUAAAUACCUGAAUUUUGAAAUCUAAAAAGUAGGGGUACUAAAGUUCUAGAAAUAAAAGUGCAAGAAUUAAAUUCUAAAUUUAUGAAAAAAUGUAAAAACUUAUGACAUAUUUUAACCAAAAUAAUUAUAUUCACCAAAUACUAAGCAUGAUUCAAUUAUCAUUUGAAAAUAAAUUACAUUUAAUAUAUUAGUUUAAUUGAAGUAAAAAAAGUAUUAAUCUUAAUUAGUAUAAUUAUCAAUGCUAAAAAAUUGAACAAAUUAAUAAUAUAAUAUAAAAAUAGAAUGACCAAAUUAUACUAAAUUGAAGUUUAGAAACUAAAUAUAGAAUUUUAAAAAAAGUAGAAGGACCAAAAUCAGAAUUUUACCUAUUAUAAACAAAGGGUAGAAGUACAAUUCAAUCUCGGUCAAGUGGUGGUUGCAUUUAUAUCUAUAUAUAUGCAAUACGUUUCACCUGUAAAAUUACCGGAACUCCUAAUUAUAUGUGAACCAGCACUCUUUUCGGUAACUGAAACAAGAACCCAACAUCCCAUUCGUCCUCUAUAUAAACUCUGUCUUACAUCUCCAUCAACAACAUUGUCUAAGCAGCCUUGGGCCUUCCAAGGUGAAUAAAUAAAAUGGCAAGUCGUCAAAGUUUUCAGGCCUUCGGCUGCUUAACUUUUUUCUCUUGCAUUCUAUUUUGCUCAUACGCACCCACUUUCGCAUUAACUGACGUCGAACAAUCUUACAUCACUCGUCGUCAACUAUUGGCACUCCGUGAGAAUGGUAAACUCCCCGAUGGGUAUGAAUAUACUGUGAAAACGACAGAGAAAUUCGAGAAUGAAAGGCUUAGGAGGGCUUUCAUUGCUCUUCAAGCAUGGAAGAAGGCUAUGUACUCUGACCCCAAGAACAUCACGAGCAACUGGUUUGGGCCCAACGUGUGUGAUUACAAAGGUGUUUAUUGUGUCCGAGCAAUGGAUGACCCCAAAUUAAAAGUUGUGGCUGGUAUUGAUCUUAACCAUGCUGACAUCGCCGGUUACCUUCCGGUGGAGUUGGGGUUGCUGACCGAUGUUGCAUUGAUACAUUUAAACUCUAAUAGGUUUUGUGGGAUCAUCCCCGAGAGCUUAUCCGAGCUUACACUUAUGCAUGAAUUUGAUGUUAGCAACAACCGGUUCGUGGGGGAUUUCCCUAAAGUUGUACUGUCAUGGCCGAGCGUGAAGUUUAUUGAUCUCCGGUUCAAUAAUUUUGAAGGUUGUUUACCACCUGAGCUCUUCAAAAAGGAUCUGGAUGCAUUGUUUCUGAACGAUAAUCGCUUCACUUGCAACAUCCCUGAAACAAUCGGCAAAUCGACUGUCUCCGUUGUGACAUUCGCCAACAACAAGUUCAAAGGAUGUAUUCCACGUAGCAUUGGAAAGAUGUCGAACUUGGACGAGAUCAUUUUCUCAAACAAUAACCUCGGUGGUUGUUUCCCUCAAGAAAUUGGAUUGCUUCGAAAUGUUACUAUUUUCGAUGUUAGCAAGAACUCGUUCGUGGGUAGCUUGCCCGCAAACUUUUCGGGAUUCGAGAAGGUUGACGUUUUGGAUAUUUCCGGGAACAAGUUGACGGGGAGUGUGCCGGAGGAUAUUUGCAAGUUGCCGAGCUUGUCUAGUUUCAAGUUUUCUUACAACUAUUUCAGUGAGGAGCAUAUGGCUUGUAUAAAGCCUGAAAGGAAGAACAUUGUGGUGGAAGAUACUGGUAAUUGUGUGGCUGGCCGGAUGAAGCAAAAGACAGAUAAAGAGUGCAAACAGGUGGUGAGUAACCCGGUUGAUUGUAGCAAGGACAAAUGUACUGGAGGGUCUCCACCUUCUAAGCCUAAAUCACCACCACUACCACCGGUCCACUCCCCACCCCACCACGUCGCACUCCCACCCCACCACGUGCACUCACCACCCCACCCGUCCACUCACCACCCCCACCCGUCUACUCACCACCACCACCAGUGCACUCACCACCACCACCCGUCUACUCCCCACCACCACCCGUCUACUCCCCACCACCACCCGUCUACUCACCACCACCACCCCCACCCGUCCACUCCCCACCACCACCACCAGCAGUACAGUCCCCACCCCCACCAGUACAAUCUCCACCUCCACGAACUCCAUCUCCUCGUCCUGUUGUGUCUACACCGCCACCUACAAAAGAUAUUGUCCUCCCACCAAACAUAGGAUUCGAAUACCAAUCGCCACCUCCACCAAUGUUUCCAGGCUACUAAACAGUACUACAGCCUUAACAUCUUUGUAUUGUAUAUUCUCGCUCUCGGGCAUAAAAGGAAAAAAAAAAGAGCCAUAAAUUACAAUUAUGUCAUUACCUUUUCUUGCGUUUGCAAUUACUAUUCAAAUUGUAACAUCAUUGCGAAAGCUCUUAUAUUUAUAUAUGAAUCUUAAUUACUAGUAACUUUCAUCUUUUCCCUCUUCCUCUUUUGUUAAUAUUGGAAAAAUAAAUAUUUGUGAUAUAUAAUUUAUAUGUCACUUCAGCAUGUUGUGUUGGUUUCGGGUUGCAUCAAUUUCAAUCGGAUCAAUUUGAUUUUUGAUCAUUUAUGUUUAUUUUUUUUUCUUUCAAGAGUGACACUUAAUUUCGAGUUUUUUAUUCAUGUUUUUUAAGUUUGAUUUUUUUUUAUAUGUUGGAAUUGGGUAGGUUUGAUUAUUUACUUUUUGAAAAAAGUUUUGGUUUUCUCCUUAUUCUAAUUUGAUAUCGCAACUAUGUUCCAACAUAAAUUAGAAUAAGAUGGAUUAAUAAAAGUUUUCAAAUAGAAAUAACACACAAGAUUUAUUAACAUAGUUCAUAUAACAUUCUUACUUUGUAAAGCCUUAUUAAGGGUGUACAAAAUUCGAUGGAAAAAGCCACCCAAAUCAACUCAAUUCGAUUUUUUUGUUCGAUUUUAUUGAAUUCAAAUAUCUAAAUAUAAUAUUUUAUAUUUUUACUUCAAACCCCUAAACUUUUUUACUUUUCCUAAAAACUUUUACUCCUCUCCUAUCCCACCCCCAAACCCAUUCCUCCACCCCCCCAAUAUUUUUUUUGAAUAUUCCCCCUCAAAAUUUUACUCUCCAAACUCUAAAACUUUUUAUUUUUCCCUAAAACUGUUACUUUUCAUCAUAUACCCUCAAAUCAAAAAUCAAAAUCAUCCAAUUUCACAUAUUUUCCAUGAAAUUGUCUAAUAUUCAAGAAAUCUUCAUUAUGAUCUCCAUGAGUUGCAAUUACAUGUUUCACUUGAGCAUUGACUUAUAAUGUCAACAAAAGCAAAUCCAAAUAUAACACUAAAGGCAUUCAAAUUAUAUAUAAUCAUGUAAUAUUAUAAUAGAACAGUCAACAAUAUUAAUUAUUUGGUCUAACUAAUAAUAUUAUAAAAUUCUAAAGAUCUUAUUAUAUUAAAAAUUAAAUAUAGCGAGCUUAAGGAAAAAAUCAUAUACCCAAAUUUCGUUGCUUUUAUAUAAUAAAGGUAUUCAUCUUAAUUAGUGCCAUCAAUGUUGGUGUAAUUAAUCUUCCAAAAAUGGUAUAAUUAAUCACAUAUUAUUAUGACGUUUUUUUAUAUUAAAAGGUCAAAUUCGGUUUUUGUCCCUCUACUAUAUUAGAAUUAAAAAUUCAGUCUGUUUUAUUUUAAUUUAGCAUAAUUUGGCCCUCUUACUUCAUUAUUAAUUAAUCUAAAAUGUUAACACCAUUAACUAUUUUAAUCAAAAUACUUAUAUGAUUUUUUUUAAAAAAAAAUCAGUGUUAAGCAUUUAGUUAAUACGUAAUUUUUUAUUAAAAUUUUUUUGAUUAAUUUUUUUUAGAAAAAGCACAAUUAAAAAAAGAAUAAUUAACAAUGCUAAAAAAUUGAUAUAAAAAUAGAAUGACCAAAUCAUAGUGAAUUGGAGUAUAAAAACUAAAUCAUGAAUUUUAGAUAUAGUAGAAGGACCAACAUAUAGUUUGACCUAUUAUAAAAUAAAGAUAGAAAAUUCAAGUUAAAAUUGGUUAAAUAGUAUCUAUACAUAAGCCUUACAUUUCGCUUCGCCUCUAAAGUUACAGAACCUCUAAUUAUAUGUGAAACCAGCAAACUUCUCGAGAACUAAAGCAAGAACCCAACAUCCCAUUCGUCCCCGAUAUAAGCUCCUUUCCAUCUCCAUCAACAUUGCCUAACCAGCCUCGGGCCUUCCAAGGUGAACAAACAAAAUGGCAAGUCGUCAAAGUUUUCAGGCCUUCGGCUGCUUUCAUUUGUUCUUUUGGAUUUUCUUUCGUUCAUUCACACCCACUUUCACAGCCGAAGCGUCUUCAAUCGCUGAUCGUCACCUGUUGUCACUCCCCAAAAAUGGUAAACUCCCCGACGGGUAUGAAUAUACGGUGAAAACGACAGAGAAAUUCGAGAAUGAAAGGCUUAGGAGGGCUUUCAUUGCUCUUCAAGCAUGGAAGAAGGCUAUGUACUCUGACCCCAAGAACAUCACGAGCAACUGGUUCGGGCCCAACGUGUGUGAUUACAAAGGUGUUUAUUGUGUCCGAGCAAUGGAUGACCCCAAAUUAAAAGUUGUGGCUGGUAUUGAUCUUAACCAUGCUGACAUCGCCGGUUACCUUCCGGUGGAGUUGGGGUUGCUGACGGAUGUUGCAUUGAUCCAUUUAAACUCCAACAGGUUUUGUGGGAUCGUCCCUGAGAGCUUAUCUGAGCUUACACUUAUGCAUGAAUUUGAUGUUAGCAACAAUUGGUUCGUGGGGGAUUUCCCCAAAGUUGUACUGUCAUGGCCGAGCGUCAAGUAUAUUGAUCUCCGAUUCAAUAAUUUUGAAGGUUGUUUACCACCUGAGCUCUUCGAAAAGGAUCUAGAUGCAUUGUUUUUGAACGAUAAUCGCUUCACUUGCAACAUCCCUGAAACAAUUGGCAAAUCGACUGUCUCCGUUGUGACAUUCGCCAAUAACAAGUUCGAAGGAUGUAUACCACGUAGCAUUGGCAAGAUGUCGAACUUGGACGAGAUCAUUUUCUCAAACAAUAACCUCGGUGGUUGUUUCCCUCAAGAAAUUGGAUUGCUUCGCAAUGUUACUAUUUUCGAUGCUAGCAAGAACUCGUUCAUGGGUAGCUUGCCGGCAAACUUUUCGGGCUUUGAGAAGGUUGACAUUUUAGAUAUUUCCGGGAACAAGUUGACGGGGAGUGUGCCGGAGGAUAUUUGCAAGUUGCCGAGCUUGUCUAGUUUCAAGUUUUCUUACAACUAUUUCAGUGAGGAGCAUAUGGCUUGUAUAAAGCCUGAAAGGAAGAACAUUGUGGUGGAUGAUAGUGGUAAUUGUGUGGCUGGUCGGAUGAAGCAGAAGACAGAUAAAGAGUGCAAGCAGGUGGUGAGCAACCCGGUUGAUUGUAGCAAGGACAAAUGUACUGGAGGGUCUCCACCUAACCAAAACACACCUACGCCACAUCGUGUAUCUCCAACGGUUCCUACCAAGCCACCAACAGCACCAACACCAGUACCUGAUAAAAUUGAACUCUCUCCAAAGUUUCCUAUUCGCCCACCAAAACCACCUCCAGCACCGGUUCCACCUCCACCAGUCCCUUCCCUACCACCACCCGUCCAAUCCCCACCACCACCUGUGCCCUCCCCACCCCCACCCGUCCACUCACCACCACCACCACCGGUUCCUUCACCCCCACCACCAGUAAAAUCCCCACCUCCACCGGUGNNNNNNNNNNNNNNNNNNNNNNNNNNNNNNNNNNNNNNNNNNNNNNNNNNNNNNNNNNNNNNNNNNNNNNNNNNNNNNNNNNNNNNNNNNNNNNNNNNNNUAUCUCCUCCUCCUGUAUUGUCUAAACCACCACCUACAAAAGAUAUUGUCCUCCCACCAAACUUAGGAUUCCAAUACCAAUCGCCACCUCCACCAAUGUUUCCAGGCUAUUAAAUAGUAUUAUAGCUUUGACAUCUUUAUUUUGUAUGUUCUCCAUCUCGGGUAUAAAAAAAUAACAAAGAAAAGUUCAUAAAUAACAAUUGAGGUAGUUACCUUUUCUUUUUCUUAGUUUCCUCUUCUAACAUGAUUGCCAAAGCUCUUAUCUUUAUCUAUGAAUCUCAAUUACUAGUAGCUCCUCUUUUGUUAAUAUCAGGAACACAAUUAAAAAAUUCUAAGAUUUUUAUCAGCUACACCAAAGAUUUUAUGUCCUAAAAUCUAUUCUAUAGUUAUGUAGAGUCCCCAGCUUCAAGUUUUAAUAUUUAAUGAUUCAACUUUGCUUAUAUUUAUCAUAAAUGAUUAAAUAUGAUUUAUUAUAUAAUAAUAUUUUUAAUAAAUUUAAUUUUGAUUCAUAUAUUUUUUAAUAAAAAAUCUAUAACAAUGCAAAUUAGAAAACUUAAAUUUUUUUUUAAUAAUUAAAGGAAAAAUUCCACAUAAAAUAUAUUAAUAAAAAAAUAUUUCAAAAUUGAUAAAGUCAUACAAAACAAAUACAUAAAUUCAAUUUUUAAUAUAAUUACAUAAAAUCAAACCAUCCUAAGUCCAAUUCUCGAAUUUCAAGUAUGAGCAACAUCCAAAAUUUCAACGUAGAAUCACAAUUUAAAAAUUUAUAAGUUUUGUAAAUAAAUUUGUAUAAAAAGAAACAAAUAUUUAAAAAGUAGAUUAUUAAUAUAUAUGAUAUGAUAUAACAUUAUAUAAUAUAGUAGGAAGGCUAACUUUCAAAUGUAUAAAAACGUAUAGGGACUUAGAGCAUAUUUCAACUAGUAUAAUAAUAAACAAUAAUAUAUAAUAAGUAAUAAGUAAUAUACUACUAUUAUAUAUGUCUAUUUUUAUAAUAUAGAUUAUAAUAAAAUAUAUACCUCCAGCAUGCCGAAUCCAGCAUCAGAAUUCGGUAAUGUACCUGAAAGGGGAACACUAAAGGGGUGAGCUACACGAGUUCAGUGUGAGUUUGAGACAAGACUAACAACAAAAUUACAGACCGGAAUUCCAAAUAGCAAUACAACAGUGAAACGUAUUUACAGAGAUAUACAGAACCAGAAGGCAUACACGAAGCCUACGACCCAAGCGAACGUACUCAAGCAAAGCACUUAUCAUCACACACAGUGUUACAAAACCUCAUCACACGCAAGAACAGUCACAAAUGAUAAGUCAAACAGAUAAAACGCAGACAAACAAACUUACACCCAAUCACUUAAUCAGAUGCUUAUGAAUGCAGUCAAGUAGUGAAAACCCACCAUCUAGCCAAAACACCUCUCCGUCCCCCAAUCACACCCCAAUAGAGUUGUUUAAGCUCAUCCAACCAGACACACCACGUAGGACCUCGAAAGGCCCAUCCAACCCUACACACCAUGUAUAUGGACUAAGCCACUCAGAUAAUAUGUAACACCCCUAACCCUUAUCCAUUACCGGAAUAAGGUUACAGAGUAUUACCGAACUUUAUAGGCUAAUUACGAACAUUUUAUAUCAUUUAAUACACAUAUUAGAAACUAAUCACAAUUCAUUCACAUUGUCCCUUGUAUGAGCCCUCGAGGCCCAAAAUACACAUUAGAAUCAAGUCGGGACCAAACCGGGAACUCAAAGAAUUUUUGCAAAAUUUCAAAAAAAAUUUCCAAGGUACUGGGGACACAUGCCCAUGUGGCUAGGCUGUGUGUCUCACACAGUCGAGAGACAUGCCCGUGUCUCAGGCCGUGUCCAAAUUAGGGUGGCUACUGACUUGGGUCACACGGCGAAGCCACACGCCCGUGUGUUAGGCCGUGUAAACAUACUAACUUGUAUAAUUAAGGUGCAGGGUUCACACAGUCAAGUCACACGCCCAUGUGCCACACACGGCUGAGAUACACGUCCAUGUCUCUGCCCGUGUGAAAAUACUUGAGCCUCCUGUUUCUAAAAUUUAAAGAUGCAGACACACGGCCUAAACACACGCCCAUGUGCUAGGCCGUAUGUCACACACGGCUGAGAUACACGCUCGUGUCUCUGCCCGUGUGGACGAAAAUAGGUCAUUUUAAGGCCACUUUUCUCACCCAUUUUAUUAUCAAACUAUACACAAUAUUUCAAUACAUCAAUACAUCCCAAACAAACAAUUAACACAAGCCAAAAUCAUGUUUUAAGAUAAACAUAACAUCACAAACACUCAAUUACUUAAAUUUACCUAUUUAAUCCAUCUCAUUGGUUUAUCAAAAUCUACUUCUAUUUAUAUAUAUAACCUUUAUAACCAUAUUUUUAAGUACUUCAUUUCCACUCCAACCCUAUACAUGCCAUAUAAACCAAAACAUACGUUGCAAAAGCUACCGGAUUAAGUUAGAUAGUGUGACUUGAUGUAUUGAUCCGAUCUCCCUACCUCACGUUAAUCUACAAGAACAUUAAACAACACAAGUAAGCUUAAUGAAGCUUAAUAAGUUCAAUAGGUUAAACAUAAAUCUUAACAUACAUAUUAUAACAAAUCAUUUAAAUAAAUCAUUCAAUGUACAAUUCCUGCCAAUCACAACUUUAAUUGAUGAAUUCACUUAUCUAAGAUCAAUACCAAUCAUAACAUUAAGUUUUUAUACAUUAAUUUCAUACGUUACUUACCAACCCUUGUUGUAUUGAAGAACAACUUACGGAUAUGAGUACAUUGUAUUCAGAAGCCCGAAGGCUAUACAGAAGCACAUAAGUGCUAAACAGAAACUCAUAAGGGUUGAAUGUGUAACACCCCUUACUCGAGACCAUUGCCGGAGUCAAGCAUGAGGCAUUACUUAGCUUAUCUUACUAAUUCGGAGCUUAAAAAUUUACUUUGAAAAUUAAUUUCACUAUUUACAGCAAACCUGUCCAAUCGCGUAGCAGUUACUAAAUUGAUUAUAACUCGAGCUACGGGAUUCAAAAUUUAAUUUGAUAAAUUUUACCUGAAACUAGACUCAUAUAUCUUCCUACCAUAAAAUUUUUAGAAUUUUUGGCUUAGCCAAUUAGUACAGUUUAUUAGUUAAAGUCUCCCAUGUUUCACCAAUCGACUGCCCUGACCUCUUGUCACUAAAAAUAAAUUUUCUCACUGUAGGAUUUUCAUAUGAAGUUCUUACUUGUUUCUAUAGAAAAUAGACUCAAUAAGUAAUCUAGACAUAUAAACUACAUCUCAUAACCAUUUUUAUACAAUUUUUAAUGAUUUUAUAAACUCAGAACAGGGGACUCCAAAAACAGUUCUGACCUUGUCUCACUAAAAUUCACAUAUCUUAAAAUAUAAAUUUCCUUUUGCUACACCGUUAUUCUUCCUUGAAAAUAGACUCAACAAGAUUUAAUUCCAUAUAUUAUUCACCCUCUAAUUCAUUUUAUACCAUUCUAGGUGAUUUUUCAAAUUCACGUCACUGUGCUGCCUGAAUUCUGUUUCUUUGCAAAAUUUUAUCCUUUCAUGAUUUCCAUGCAUAAUUUAUCACCUAAUCUUUCAUAACAACAAACACCUUCAUACUUAACCAUUUUAAUGACCAUACAUCAUCAAAUGCUUACACAUCAUUCAUUAGCAAAAUCAUCAUUACAAACAUACAAAAUAACUAAAUCCCUAUACAUGCCAUAACUCAAACGUGUUUUGACAUAAAAUACCGAGCAGUUGUGGUUGAUAGUGUGGACGAUCUCCGACUUCUUUAGGAUCCUUGAAGUAGCUUUGCAAUACUAUAAGAGAAAGAGAAAUAAAAGAAGUAAGCAUAAAGCUUAGUAAGUUUACUAGCAAAUAAAUAACAACAUUAAAAACAAAUAAUUAAACUCAAGUGACUAUAUCUCUAGUUUACUCUUUAGUUAAUCUCAUUCUAGUUCUCUUGCUUAUUUACUUAGAAUACUUGUGUGCAUAACUUACUCAUCUCUUGCUGCAUCGUUGAACAUCAAUUGAUAGUAUAAUAAGUUCUUAACUCUUAUAACUUACCUGAGCUUGCCAUUUAUGCUUUAAACUGAACUUUCAUGAAUAUGAUUCGCUUAUUAGCCCGUUGAGCUACAUUGGAACAAUAAGGAUACUCGGGUCUCUUCUGAUAAUAACAUGCCAAAGCCAUGUCUCAGACAUGGUCUUACAUGGGAUGUUCUCAUCUCGGUGCCCAUGCCAUGUCCCAGACAUGGUCUUAUAGGGGACCUCUCAUCUCGGUGCCAACGCCAUGUACCAGACAUGGUCUUACAUGGGACCUCUCAUCUCGGUGCCAACGCCAUGUCCCAGACAUGGUCUUACAUGAGACCUCUCAUCUCGGUGCCAAUGCCAUGUCCCAGACAUGGUCUUACAUGGGACCUCUUUACCCAAAUGUCAUGACAUUUGUAUCCAGUACCAUCCUUAUGUAUCAACGGGACUUUUUAAUUUUAAUUAUCUAUCAUUUCAUGCUUGGAUCAACAUUAAAUAAAUUCAUAAAAUAAAUGCAUAAUUGCUGGAAAAUAACAACAUUAAUAAUAAUUAUUAAAAUAUUGUAUUUAUUUACCGUAAACUUACCUUGGUAUUAAAUAUAGUCCAAUUCACCAACUUAGUCAACUUUUUUCUUCCCUUUGUCUAACCUUGAGUUUCGUUCUUCUUGAUCUAAAAUAGCAAAUUUAACUUAUUUAAUACUCACAUUCAUCAAAACAGCCAUCGACUCUAACUUUUUCAAAAUUACGAUUUUGCCCCUAAACUUUUACAUAAUUACAUUUUUGCCUCAAGGCUCGGAAAUUAAACUUCAUCUCUUAUUCUUAUGUUUUAUGAUAUGCUGAACAUUUUUCCCUUCUAUGGCAACAUCAAAUUCCCACUCUAACAUGUACUUAUGAACAUUAGGUAUUUUUACCGAUUAUGUCGUUUUACUCGUUUUCACUUAAAAUCGCUUAGCAAAAGUAGUUUAACAUAAUUUAUAGCUUCAUAUUCUAUCAUAAAACAUCAAAAUAAACACUUUUCACCUAUGGGUAUUUUUCCAAAUAUAAACCCUAGGUUAAAUUAUUGCUAGAAUAAGCUAAAUUAAGCUACCGGGACUCCAAAAACGUAAAGAACAUUAAAAACGGGGCUUGGGAUCACUUACUAUGGAGCUUGGAAGCUUGAAACCCUAACUAUGGCUUCCCCCUUGCUGAUUUCGUCCUAAUGAAGAAGAUGAGCAUAAUUUGCCAUCUUUUUCCCUUUUAAUUCAUUUUAAUUACUAGAUUACCAAAUUGCCCCUAACUUAAAAAUUUUCUAUUUCACUUAUCUCAUGUCCAUUUUUGUCUACCAACUUAACCAAUGGUCUAAUUACCAUAUAAGUACCUCCAAUUUAAAGUUUCAUAACAAUUGGACACCUCUAACAUGUAGAACUCAACUUUUGCACUUUUUACAAUUUAGUCCUUUUGACUAAAUUGAGUGCUCAAACGUCGAAAUUUUCGAACGAAAUUUUCACGAAAUCAUUUUGUGAAAUCGUAGACCAUAAAAAUAUAAGAAAAAUAAAAUUUUCCUGAUCGGAUUUGUGGUCCCAAAACCACUGUUCCGAUAACCUUAAAUUUGGGCCAUUACAGAAUGAAAACUCAUAAGAGCUGUACGAAAACCCAUAAGGGUUAAACAAAAGCUCAAAAGAGCUGACCAGAAACCCAUUAGGGUUAAACAAAAACUUAUAUGAGUUAACAGAAGCUCGUGAAAUCUAAACGGAGAGUAAACAAGAAUGUUCGCAACAACUGCUGAACCUCGGUUUACUUGGGUAAUUUGCUAUCAAUUCAUCCUUUGCAUUUUCUGUCAAUUCAUCCUUUGCCACAGAACGAUUGUACUCAGCCCCGUGUUCCACUCGUUUUAAACAUUCAAUUCAAUUUCAUAAUUUAACAAUAAUUUUAUUUUCAACAAUAGAUAUGAAUAAAUAUAUAAUAACAUUCAUAAAUUUAAUAAACAAACAUUAAAUUUUAACCAUACGAACUUACCUAAGUUAAGUUGUAAGAUUUGUAGUAGUAUAGAGACUAUUCUGCUAUUUUUUCUUUUUCACGUUUGUCUACGGGCUCUUGAUCCAAAAUAUAAAAUUAUUCAUUCAUUAGCACACAUUUCAGUUUCAAUUCACUUCUCAAUUAAUACCCUUCAAUUUUUGAAAUUACACAUUACCCUAAUUUUUUUACAAUUUUUACAAUUUAGUCCCUCACAAAUUAGCCUAUCAAAUGAGUUAUUUUUUCUCAAUUGACAAUUUAUCUAAAUAUUCUAAGCUAUCAUAUAGCCUUUGAUCAAUAGAAUUUAUUAUCAAACCCUAAUAUUUAAUCUUUUCACAAUUUAGUUCUAAAAUCAAUUUAUAUUAAAAUCACUUAAUAAAAUCAUCAUAUAACAAAAUUAAAGCUCUAAAUCCAUGUUAAUUCAUCACUAGCUUGUGAAAUGGCUUCUCAUAUGAUUAAUUUGAAAAAAUGCUAUGUUUAGAUGCACUAGCUUGUGGCUAUGGAAGUAUGAUAUGCUUAUGACUUGUGUGUUACACCUAUGGAACGAGUGUGGAAAGUAAAGAAAUACAAAUGAGAAUAAAGAAAAUUGGAAGAGUAUAAAGUUGUUUAAAACUCUACUAUACUAGAAAUAAUGUGUAUAAGUGAUGCUGUGGAUUUACUCAUUUUGUGAGUUGUUGAAUAUGGUUUCUUGAAUCGUGUGGUAUCAAUAAAUGUUUAUUCUUGAUAAGUAUAAAUUUCAUAAUAAAAUGGAUUGAUACGAUUAAAGUUUAUAUGAGCUUACUAAGCAAUCAUUGCUUACGUAUUUAUUUUUCUUUAUUUUUUAAAUUAUUAGAAGCUUGAUCGGGUUGGAAGCUUAUCGGAGAUAUAUCACACUAUCCAUCAAUUCUAUCGAUACUUCUGGAUGUUUGAUUUUGGUUAUAAUGGCAUGUUUAUGUUAUUUUGGCUAAAUGUUGGCUUAUAUGUACUUUGUUGGGACUAGCCAAUUAUUUGGCUUGUAUUUUGGUAUUUUGGUUGGUGCAUGAUUUGUUUUAUAAUGUUUAUGUGUGAAUUGAUUAGUGGUUGAAUGAUGAUAGGUAAAAUAGUAGUUGAAUAUGCAUAAUGAUGAUUGUAGGUUGAUACUAAAUUGGAUGAUAAAUAUGGCUUGUAAAAUGACCUAUUUUCAUCCACACAGGCAGAGGCACGGGCAUGUGUCUCAGCCGUGUGGCACACGACUAGGUGACACAGCCGUGUGUCCCCUGUAUCUUUUAAAGAGUGCAAGUCAGUAUGCUCAUACGGCCUAGCACACGGGCGUGUGACUUGGUCGUAUGACCCCUAUAGUGUUAAAAAUUUUGAAUAAUUCUGAAAAAAAUUCUCUGAGUUUUCGAAUUAGUCCUAAUUUUUUACUAAUAUCUAUUUUGGGUCUUGAGGGCUCGUUUAAGGGACAGUAAAUAUGAUUUUAAUUGGUUUUAUUAUGACUAUUGAUAUGUAAUGUAAUGUUUAGAAUUUCUGUCUGAUUAAUCUGUAAACUCUAGUAAUGCUCUGUAACCCUAUUCCGGCAACGGAUAUGGGUUAGGGGUGUUACAAAAAUUAUACCAGGUGUGUACCCUAGACACGAAAAAUUGAGGUUCAACAAAAGCUAAAAAAGGGCACUGUCGACUCUACAUCGGCGUGUGUCUGGCCGUGUGCGAGACAUGGCCGUGUAACAGCGAAGGUGUGGCUAUAUGGGCCACAUAGGCUAGGCUAGAUUGGGUGUGUGGGCUACACGAGCAUGUGGGUUUUAGGCCAGGUCGUGUAGGCCACACGAGCAAGGCCAAUUUGGGCAUGUGGGCCCAAAAUUCUGAAUUUUUUUCUAGGGUCGUACAGGUUGUUCUGAUCGACUAUGGGCCUACCGUAGGGUCGGUAAGGGCCAACCAAACCCUAAUUCAUAUGAUCUGAUAUUCUAAUAGUCUGAUCUAAGUAGGAAAUUGAUAUGCAUGUUUGAUUGUUCUGUUAGAAUAUAUAUUAUCUGUAUACGAGCAUGUUAAGCAUGAUAAUCCUGUUAAUUCUAUAUUUUGUUUCUGUAUUUUGGGUGAGAUUCGCAUAUGUGGAGGAAGUGAUCUGUACGGCGACCUUUCGCCUAUUAUCUGGCACUUGGCUGUAUAUUAUUAUGUUAUGUGUCGCAUCGACACUAUAUGGUGUGUAGGGAUGGGUGGGUGUUUUUAACCCCACAUGGUGUGAUGGGAUGGUCAGAGAUGGUGUGUAGAGGAUGAGGGUAAGAUUUUAUAUAUCUAUUUUGUACAUCUGAUUUUGAUAUCUGUAUUUGUUAAGGACUUAGGUUCGAUUCUAUUUUUGUCUGCAUAUGAGAUUCUGUGAAUUUUGCAUAACUAUCUCUGUUGGGUUAGACAUUGAGUUUACGAAAAUUCACAUCUGUUUGUCUUAUCUGUAUAGGUAACCCUCAGUCAUAGGCGGGUUGGUGCGAUGGAGGCUCAUUGGUGACCACUUGUUGGGAAACUAUUUCCCCAUUACCAUUAGUGCGGUAUUUUAAAUUCUGGAUUUAUUUGAGAGUUUGUAAUUUUUGGGACUCUCUAGACUAUAUGGUUUUAACUGUUGGUUUUGGUUUGGUUGCGUUUAAGUUUUUUAAAAUUAUGAUGAUUGACAAAUUGCGAUUUUAUGCGAAUAAAUGUUUUGAAAACACUGGCAAAUGGUUUUUGAAGACAAAAAUGAUUUUUCAUAUUUCCGCUGCAAAUUAAUCAGAUACUUUAAAGGAUAAUGUAUAAUCAUUUUUAUUAAGAUUAUAAAAACGAGUUUCUUCAAAACAUAUAGACUCUGUUUGGUAUCAAAUAACGCGAUUUAUUUUAACCAAAAAGAUGUGUUUUAAAACCCUUUUUUGUAACACUCUCUGAUUCAACUAUAACAUCUAGGUUGGGUUUGGGGUGUUACAACAGUAGUUUUUAAAGCAUCAUCUUUUUCUUAGACCACGUUCCCAAACCUUUUUUCUCUCCAUUGAGGGCCUACAAUAAUGUUGCUCAAUACAUGGUGUACGUAAACUUAAAGUAUUGUUGGAAUUAUCUUCACUCAUAAACACCUACCUUAUCGUUUUAGGUGACAAACUAUCUCAUACUAAUAUGUCUAUUUAUUUAAUAUUGUCAUGCAUUGAAUACAAAAUAUGUUAGCAUCACUGAGUUAUCAAUGCUUAGCAUGCGAAUGUGUUUGUUUCGUGAUUUGUCGUAAUUUGAUAUGUCAAAUUAGGCUCUCCAUUACGCUGGAAGAGUUUAUUCUCUAGCAAUUUGGAUGUCUUUUUCGUGUUUUUAUUUUGUUUUAGCUUUUCGCUUCAAUAAGUGAUUUGGUGUGAUUUAUGUUAUUUUUUAGACCCAAGUUGGCCAAAUAUGCCAUUGGGAACUGAACGAGUUGAUUGAGUGUUGUAGGGAGUUGAUGGUGGCCCAAACGUGAAGAAAACAUCACUUAGAAUGAGGUAUCGUGAUAUCGAAACAUGAAAGUUACCAGUGUUGAAACGAAAAGAAUUGAAGCCAUCUUCAGUGGUAUCGCGAUACCAACCAUGGCUAUCACGAUACUGAGACAUCCAAGGACCCCCCAUUUCAAGACAGUCGUGGGUAUCGUGAUACCAGAGCCUUGGUAUCAUGAUACCCCUGUCAAGCGGAGACAAAAGAUUACUGUAGGGGUAGUCCUUGUCCAACCUCAACACCAAUCAAAAUUAGACCCUGAGGGGCAUUUUGGUCACAAAAUUGGGUUGUAAUCAGCUGAAAAACUACCUUUUGGCUGUAAGAAAAAAAAGUUUUUCACUUUCUUUAAUUUUUAUCAUCUUUUUAGUUUAGGGUUUUGUUACUUUUUUUAUCUUUUUAGGGUUUAGGCUUCAACUUUUCUGAUUUUUGGUUAAAUAGUUAGUUAGUUAAGUUUACUGUAGCUUGGUGCUAAUUGUUAUUUAGUACCUUAAAAUUUCUUUGUAUUUGCACUUUAAUCCUUAGUUUUAAUAUAACUCAGCCUUGUUUUAUUGUACCUGUUAAAAAUAUUAUCUUUUUGUGUUUUUACUUGCUACUAUUGCUGCCAUUGUUGUUUUCUUCAAGCUUUUGUAAGAAAGCUUAAGUUUUUCUUCUCAACUUUUCCUUGGGUUUACUUUGAUACAUAUUUUGCUUGAAUGUCAGAUGUUACUUGGUUAGAAGUGAAUAUGAGUAGUAAAAUCCUAGGUGACUGGUUGAUGAAAAUGUUGUUUAGUUAUUUUUUGGUUUAGGGAUUAAAUCGCAAAAUUUGCACUAAAUUGAAUAGACUUCAAAACUUAGGAUUGACGCCGCUAAGGAAACUUUCAGAUGAGUGAGACUAAGAGGAGAUCUCAUUGAGCACCGAUUCAAUAUUCCUAGAUUAGUUUGGUGAGGUCGAGAGAUAAAUCGGACUAAUUUGUCUAACUUGGUAAAAUUGAAAUUGAGAGGUAAAAUUAAGCCAAUUUAGGAAUACAAGUGAUUUAGAUCCCUAAUCCGAAGGUUAAUUAACAACAUGGAAGUCAACCAACUAUUGUCUGUUAUUGAUUAGUCAAUUUUGUAAUUUUGUUUGUUUCACAAUUUAGUCAUUGUUCGUAAUUAGGAAAUUAAGUAGCACAAUUAACCUCAAUUAUGGUUUGUCAUAAUAUUACACAUAGUGAGUAGUAAGCUAGACUUCUUAAUUGCAUGUCAAUUAUUUAGGAUCACUUAAUCCUGACUCGUGUGGGUUCGAUCCUUGGAAUACUUGAGUGUUUAAGUGAACAUUACAAAUAUUACAACUACCCUGUCACACUUGAAGCAUAUCACAUUAUAUUUGAUUAUUUAGUGUUGAUUCUUUGCCCCGGUGUUCGCUUGCCAAUGGCAGAAGUGGUCAUUCCGUGCACAAGUAAUGAACAGAUCCUAGAUUAGUUUGAAAAACUCUGAAGCAUCCAAAGCUUUGUGACUCAACUCAGCAAGUGUUUAUAUUCCUUUUAAACCUAAGUAGUAGGUAGUAUGUACAUAGAAAGAAUUAUGAGUCUUAUGUGUUAUUUUGGUCAUUUGAUAUCUUUUGGACCCAUAAGGGUCCUAAUGUCGAAAUUUGAAACAUAAUUAUGAUGGUUAAAUGCAUGUUUCCAUAAGUUCAACCCCUCGCUCUUUAUUUCAAGGCAUGAUGCAGUAAAUGCAAUGUUUUCGAAUGUUUGAGAUGUAUAUAUAUUUUGAGUUUAAAAUUGCUAACUUACUCAUGUUUAGAUAAAAUGCAUUAGAUGUCGUAAAUUGAGUGCUAUGGUUAAGAAUGAGAAUGUCAAAUGUGUCGGUAUUGUUUAUACACAAAUAGGUAACCAUUUACAUGACUUAAAAGAUUAUAUAGGUAUGCUCUUGGGGGUUAGAAAAUAGGUGAUGUUGCGAUCUUGGCAUCCCAACGUCACGACUUCCUCGUCCAACAUUGUGACCAUGCUUGAUUCAUGUUGCGACCUCACUAAAUAAUUAGUGACAUAGUGACUUUCUUUGUUUCGAUAACCUGACUUCAUUCAUUGUUUUAGUAUAAAUUUUCAAAAAAAUUUCGAUGAUUCACGACUGAUUUGACAGGCAUGACCUGAAUCAAGACAUGUCUCCAAAAAAUUAAGCCCUCGUAACUUGUCUAUUUCCAGUAAAUUUAUAUAAAUGUUUUAAAUUUUGAUUUUAUAUCAUAUAGAAAUUAAAGAUUAUAACUCGAAUUGCUUCAAUAACGAAACGUAUCAUCUCAAAUUCGAGUCCACUGUCUGAAUCAGAUAUGAGGUGCCAUACAUUCAACAUAUAAUAUGUUUUAGAAAAAAAAACCCUUCAAACCAUGAUUAAACUUCAUUGAAACUAAUGACCAGAGUUUAAAGUCCUUUAUUUCCAUAUACACUCAAAUUGAAUUACAAUCAAAAGAAAAGGUGCAAACCUCAAAGUUUUCAAACUUAAGAAGGAGUCAUCUGUUUGUUUUUCGCAUAGAAACAAAAACCCCAGAAAUUAUUCCAAAAAAAACUAAAUUUAAGGAAGAAACCCAACAAAUGGAACCGAAGGAGCAGCAUGAGAGCGGAUAGGCAUCGACAUUAUGACGGGCCGGUUACUAUCAUUUUGGUGAAUGACAAUCCCAACAGCUUCAGCCACAACGAUGACAAACUUUAUAACUAGUUUUACCAUCUCCACGCACAUCUCUAAUCUCUGCAGCACCAUUCCCGCAAAAGCUCUUUCCUUGUUUUUCUUUUUGGGUCGCUAAUUCUAUUUUUCGCGUCGCUAUUUAUAUAUGCAAGACAUGGCGUCGCUAACUGGGAAUAAAAAAAGGGUUGUUUAAAGGAUAGAUAAAUACGGCCUCUGGAACAUCCAAAGGUCGUUUUUGUGUCAUUGGUUAAUUGUUUCUUGGAAAUUUCGAUUAUUUCAAAAAAUCAUUUUAUUUACCCACAUGUCUUCUAGUUGGUACCAGAUC
rnacentral:lncRNA from 1 species